rnacentral:rRNA from 1 species
UACAGAGGGGGCGAGCGUUAUUCGGAAUUAUUGGGCGUAAAGGGCGCGUAGGCGGCUUUUCAAGUGACGGGUGAAAUCCCUCGGCUUAACCGAGGAACUGCCUGUCAGACUGGAAGGCUUGAGACCGGGAGAGGUGAGUGGAAUUCCCAGUGUAGCGGUGAAAUGCGUAGAUAUUGGGAGGAACACCAGUGGCGAAGGCGGCUCACUGGACCGGAAUUGACGCUGAGGCGCGAAAGCGUGGGGAGCAAACAGG